CCACACAAGCUUCAGAAGAGGCCCUUUUUGCUUCUGUUUUAUUUAUUUUUAGGAAAGGACAUGACCUUGGGCAAUCGCAUUUCUAGGCUUCCUCCAGGAGUCAUCCCAAUGCAGUCUGCCUGUUGUUUGGCUCUCUGACAGACACUGACCCCAUCCUCAAGGGCAGGAACUCCAUUAGUGAUUUUAAAACUACAGACUACGUGCUGGAAGCCGCCUUACCUGGAGUUCGGGCCUGGCAAUUAGCAAUGAGAAGUUCUUGUUUUCUUCACUGGUUAGCAGAGCUACAGCCUCUUCACGGUUCUGUACCUCUAUCCCAUUAAUCUACAAAGAAAAGGUGGAGGGGUGGAUGGCAGCAUGAUUAGAUUGUGCAAAACGAUUCUCUAUUGUUUCAAGCCUGCAUCCAUUGCCCAAGCACAGCUGCAACAGAGAACUUCCAGGAUUUUUGCUUCCUGUCUGGUCACCUUUGAGCUCUGCUGGUCUGGAGGUCUCAGCUCCAGGGGACACAGCAGUGGUCCCACUUACAAGCUGGAAGAUUGAGCCUUCCAUCUGAGUCUUAUGCCUUAUAACAGCAAAGGGCGUCAUCAAUCUUGGUUAACACUUGCUGCAGUGCAGUGAAGGCAGAGAGGGCAGCUAGGACUGGAAACAACUUAUUGUCCAGCAGCAGAGGAGUGAAUAAAGAUGUGGAACAUAUGUACCAUGGAGUAUGUCUCAUCCAUAAGAAGGAAAGAAAUUGUGUCAUUUGGAGAGACACAGAUGGACCUAGAGACAGUGAUACAGAGUAAGCCCUAAAGCUAUUAUCUGAAGCAGUCUGCUCUUUCGUGAAUGAACAGAGGACGCUGACCUACCUGGAUAAUGCGGUCUCCUUCUCGGAUGCGCCCAUCCUUGGCCGCGAUGCUGUUAGGGUCAAUCUGAAACACACGGCACUGAAGAAAUAAACAAGACUCAGUGUCGUGCAAGGAGACACAAACAUGGACUGAUAACGUUUCCAGGCCGUGGUCCUGGACUCUUGCCCCGCAAUCCUGCUUUCCUGCCCACCUGAGGGGAUGGAGAGGCACAGCCAGAAAGGAAAAGCAAAAGUGUGCUGGCAUACAGGGUGAAGAGUGACUGAGACAAGACCGCUGAGCUCAGCACAUCGCCUGGCCCAGAGAAAGUCUACAGGAAACAAUCUGUUACUUUUAUAACCAGAAAGAAAACUUUCUCAGAACAAAUUCCCAAAGACAAUGUUCACUGGAGCACUGUCUGCAACAGCCAAGACAUGGAAGCCACCAAAAGAUGCGCUGACUGACGAAUGGAUAAACAAGAUACGGCACUUUAUACUAUGGAAUAUGACGUGGCAAUUGAAAAAAAACUGAACUGAUACCUUUUCUAGCAACAUGGAUGGACCUGGAGAUGAUCACACUAAGCAAAUGAAGUCAUAGAACGACACAAAGCCUAUCAAAACACAAACGGAGUCACAAACUUAGAAGACAAAUGUAUGCGCCCCAAAGGGAAAAGUAUUUACAGAAGUUCAGAAAAGUGCAAAGAGGACUUCCCUGGUGGCCCAGUGGUAAUGAGUCUGCCUGCCAAUGCAGGAGACCUGGUUUCGAUUCCCUGAUCCGGGAAGAUCCCACGUGCUGCAGAGCAGCUAAACCCGCGUGGCACCGCUACUGAGCUCUAGGGCCUGGGAGCCGCAGCCAGUGAGCCAUGCGCCCAAGAGCCUGUGCUCUGCAACGAGAGAAGCCACACAGUGAGAAGCCUUGAGCCCCAGAGGAGUCCUGCUUGCCACACCUACAGAAAAGGCCGCGCAGCAGCAACGACAAGUACCGCCAAAAGUAAAAGUUAAUAAAGAGUGCGAAGAACGGAAUGAUGAUUUAUAUUCUUAAUCACUCAGAAUUGAACAUGUUUAAUCUCUUGGCAUUAAUAAAAAAAAAAAAAUGA